rnacentral:lncRNA from 1 species
UGCUGUCACAGGGGCUGCGGUCUGCCAGCUGCUGGCCCGCCCCUCUUCUCUGAUCUUCUCCAGACCUGCUGUGCACAGUGAGCUCUGGCAUCCUGUCCUGGCUCAAUAGGAUUAUGCUGAGGCCCAGCCUAAGGGAGGGUGGCACCAGAGGAGAUUGGCAGCCGGCCAUCCUGUCCAGGACAGUCGAACUGUGGCUGGGAGCCCACUAAGUGCCCUGCAGGGGAGAUGCUGUGGACCCACAGUUUCAGUGUGUUGCUCCUGCAGAGAAGAAGUUGGUGCCAUUGUGCUGAGAGGCAAAUGGACUGCGGGCCUCCCACACACAUGAUGGG